UACGUAGGGUGUGAGCGUUGUCCGGAAUUACUGGGCGUAAAGAGCUCGCAGGUGGUUUGUCGCGUUGUUCGUGAAAACUCACAGCUCAACUGUGGGCGUGCGGGCGAUACGGGCAGACUGGAGUACUGCAGGGGAGACUGGAAUUCCUGGUGUAGCGGUGGAAUGCGCAGAUAUCAGGAGGAACACCGGUGGCGAAGGCGGGUCUCUGGGCAGUAACUGACGCUGAGGAGCGAAAGCGUGGGGAGCGAACAGG
rnacentral:rRNA from 1 species